GCAUAUCAAUAAGCGGAGGAAAAGAAACCAACAGGGAUUGCCCCAGUAACGGCGAGUGAAGCGGCAAGAGCUCAAAUUUGAAAUCUGGCCUCCCCUGGGGGCCCGAGUUGUAAUUUGCAGAGGAUGCUUCGGGUGCGGCCGCCGUCUAAGUUCCUUGGAACAGGACGUCAGAGAGGGUGAGAAUCCCGUCUUGGGCGGGCGGUCCGCGCCCGUGUGAAGCUCCUUCGACGAGUCGAGUUGUUUGGGAAUGCAGCUCUAAGCGGGUGGUAAAUUUCAUCUAAAGCUAAAUAUUGGCCGGAGACCGAUAGCGCACAAGUAGAGUGAUCGAAAGGUUAAAAGCACCUUGAAAAGGGAGUUAAACAGCACGUGAAAUUGUUGAAAGGGAAGCGCUUGCGGCCAGACUCGGGGGCGGGGUUCAGCGGGUGCUCGUCGCCCGUGUAUUCCUCGUUUCCCGGGCCAGCAUCAGUUUCGACGGCCGGUCAAAGGCCCCCGGAAUGUGUCGUCUCUCGGGACGUCUUAUAGCCGGGGGUGCAAUGCGGCCCGUCGGGACUGAGGAACGCGCUCCGGCUCGGAUGCUGGCGUAAUGGCCGUAAGCGGCCCGUCUUGAAACACGGACC
rnacentral:rRNA from 1 species